GGAGAAUUGCUAGCUUGCUAAUAAUUCUCUAGUGGCGCACGGGUGAGUAACACGUGAGUACCUGCCCCCGAGAGCGGGAUAGCCCUGGGAAACUGGGAUUAAUACCGCAUAGUGAAAUAAAGCAGCAAUGCGCUUGGGGAUGGGCUCGCGGCCUAUUAGUUAGUUGGUGAGGUAACGGCUCACCAAGGCGAUGACGGGUAGCCGGUCUGAGAGGAUGUCCGGCCACACUGGAACUGAGACACGGUCCAGACACCUACGGGUGGCAGCAGUCGAGAAUCAUUCACAAUGGGGGAAACCCUGAUGGUGCGACGCCGCGUGGGGGAUAAGGUCUUCGGAUUGUAAACCCCUGUCAUGUGGGACAUUAAAAAGAUAGUACCACAAGAGGAAGAGACGGCUAACUCUGUGCCAGCAG
rnacentral:rRNA from 1 species